rnacentral:rRNA from 1 species
UACGUAGGGGGCGAGCGUUGUCCGGAAUUAUUGGGCGUAAAGAGCUUGUAGGCGGUUUGUCGCGUCUGCCGUGAAAAUCCGGGGCUCAACCCCGGACUUGCGGUGGGUACGGGCAGACUAGAGUGUGGUAGGGGAGACUGGAAUUCCUGGUGUAGCGGUGAAAUGCGCAGAUAUCAGGAGGAACACCGAUGGCGAAGGCGGAGACCUGGGCCGAUACUGACGUUGAGGUGUGAAAGCGUGGGGAGCAAACAGG